rnacentral:rRNA from 1 species
UGAACGCUAGCGGCAGGCCUAAUACAUGCAAGUCGUAACGGCAACACAGUUGCGAGCAAUCGCAACCGGUGGCGAGUGGCGCACGGGUGAGUAACGCGUAUGUAACCUACCCUUCUCCGGGACAUAACUCCGCGAAAGCGGUGCUAAUAUCCCAUACCAACUCAUCAAGACAUCUUCUUGAGUUGAAAGCAGCAAUGCGGUGAAGGAUGGGCAUGCGUCCCAUUAGCUGGUUGGUGAGGUAAUGGCCCACCAAGGCUACGAUGGGUAGGGGUUCUGAGAGGAAAGCCCCCCACACUGGUACUGAGACACGGACCAGACUCCUACGGGAGGCAGCAGUAAGGAAUAUUGGUCAAUGGGCGCAAGCCUGAACCAGCCAUCCCGCGUGCAGGAAGACGGCGCUAUGCGUUGUAAACUGCUUUUCCAGGGAGAGAAACUUGCGCACGUGUUGCGCAAUUGACGGUACCCUGGGAAUAAGCAUCGGCUAACUCCGUG